rnacentral:rRNA from 1 species
AUGCUCUGCGGCGGCGGCGGCGGCGGCGUAUCGAUGGUCAUGGACGCCGCGCUGCACGACUGGUGCGGGCCGCUGCCCGGCGGAUCCAAGCUGCCAAUCUACCCCCAAAUCCCCGACGGGUUCACCGCGGAGGAGCUCGAGUCGCUGCUGCUCUUCCCGCCCGACGGCGCCGACGCGGGCGCCUACCUGAAUGCCGCCGCGGCGCCGCCCCUGCUCCCGUCCCCGCCCGCCUCCGCCGACAGCGCGUCGUCGCCGCCGCCGAGAGACGCCUUGGUCUCUUCACCGGCUGCGGCGGCGGCGGCGGGCCAGGCGCAGCCGGACGACUCGGAGGUGUUCUCGGACAUCGUGCUGGGCUACAUCAACCGCAUGCUCAUGGCCGAGGACAUCGACGAGAAGUUCGAUCACUACCCGGCCCACCAGGCGCUGCUCGCCGCCGAGAAGCCCUUCCUCGAGAUCCUCGCCGACCAGCCGCCCUGCUCGGGCGGGAGCACGGUCGAGAGUCCCGACGGCAGCAGCGUCACCACCAACUCCUUCAACAGCCUCGCCACCUGCAACUGCGCCGCGCCUUCCGGUGGCCUCCGCGCCAUGCAGGCGCCGCCCGCUCUCGAGUUCCCUACGGCGGAGUUCCUGCAGCCGCCGCAGUUCUACCAGGAUCUGAGCCCCGAGAGCUGCGUGGUGGAAGCAGGCGGUGCGUGGCCGUACGACGCCAUGGAAUUUAACCCUCUUCCCGACGCGUUGCUUUCGCAGUCGUCCUCCUUCGCAUCUUCAAAUGGCAGCAGCGUUGCAUUUUCAGAGGGCUUCGAGCCGUGGCUCAGCACGGCGGGUGCUGUGCCUGAUGCUGGCUUGAGCGAUUUUGUUCUGCAGAGCCAGCAAGCAGCGCAGUUCAGCCGAGGAUUUGAAGAGGGAAGCAGAUUUCUGCCUCAAGAGAGCAAGCUUGUGAUUGACGUCGACAGUUUACCGUCAGUUUGGGUUAAAGAAGAUAAGAAGGUUGUGGAGGUCAAGAGAGAGAAGGCUGAUGCUGAAGUAGCAAUUCACCGAGGAAAGAAGCAUUUCUAUGGUGACGACCUGGAUGCAGAUGAAGUGAGAUGCUGCAAGCAUUCAGCGCCUGUGGUCGACGCGGAUCACCUUGUGCGGGAGAUGAUGGACAAGGUCUUGCUAUGCAACGGCGAGACAUGCUCUAGAGGUGUCAAGGAACUGCGUGAGGCCCUACAGCACGAUGUGGCAGCUCAUUCAGGUGGUGCCCAUGGCAAAGGGUCUGGCCAUGGCAAGGGCCGAGGCAAGAAACAGGUCAAACAACCCAAGAAGGAGGUGGUCGACUUGGAGACUCUCCUCAUUCAUUGUGCGCAGUCGGUUUCCAUUGAUGACCGGCGGAGUGCAACUGAUCUCCUGAAGCAGAUCAGGCAGCAUGCAUCUGCCAAUGGUGAUGGUGACCAGCGGUUGGCGCACUGCUUUGCCAAUGGUCUUGAGGCGAGGCUUGCUGGUAAUGGAAGUCAGAUAUACAAGUUACAUACCAUAUCACGGUUUGCAUGCGCUGAUAUUCUGAAAGCGUACCAACUCUACUUAGCAGCUUGCCCAUUCAAGAAGAUCUCUCAUUACUUUGCCAAUCAAACCAUUAUGAAUGCUGUGGAGAAAGCCAAGAAAGUUCACAUUGUCGACUUCGGCGUAUACUAUGGCUUUCAGUGGCCAUGUCUCAUUCAACGGCUAAGUAAAAGGCCUGGAGGCCCCCCAGAACUUCGGAUCACAGCAAUAGACACACCUCAGCCUGGUUUUCGCCCAGCAGAGCGCAUCGAGGAGAUUGGAAGAUAUCUAAGUGAUUAUGCUCAGACCUUCAAAGUUCCUUUCAAAUACCAUGGCAUCGCAUCUCAAUUUGAGGCUGUUCGGGUAGAGGAUCUCCACAUUGAGAAGGACGAGAUUCUGAUUGUCAACAGCAUGUUCAGGUUCAAGACUCUGAUGGAUGAGAGCGUGGUAGCUGAGAGCCCAAGGAACAUGGUAUUGAACACAAUAAGGAAGAUGAAGCCACAUGUGUUCAUUCAUGGGGUCACUAAUGGAUCCUAUAAUGCACCAUUCUUCGUCUCACGCUUCCGGGAGGCAUUGUUCCAGUUCUCUGCUCACUUCGACAUGUUGGAGGCUAACAUUCCCAGGGAUAAUGAGGAGAGGCUGCUCAUUGAGUCGACUAUUUUCAGUCGGGAGGCAAUUAAUGUAAUAUCUUGUGAGGGAAUGGAGAGGAUGGAGAGGCCAGAGACCUACAAGCAGUGGCAGGUGCGGAAUCAGAGAGCUCGGUUCAAGCAGCUCCCGCUGGACCAGGAAAUCAUGAAGCGUGCACGGGAGAAAGUGAAGUGCUACCACAAGAAUUUCAUCAUCGACGAGGACAACGGGUGGUUACUACAAGGAUGGAAGGGGCGUAUCCUGUACGCGCUCUCAACAUGGAAGGCGAACCCCCAAUUCUAG